UCGACGGGGUAUAUAAGCGGAAGUUACGGAUGGAAGGUUAUAUACUUAGUGGCGGACGGGUGAGUAACGCGUGGGCAACCUGCCCCGUGCCGGGGGAUACCGCCUGGAAACAGGCGCUAAUACCGCAUAAGCGCAUACAGCCGCAUGGGUGUAUGCGGAAAGCUCCGGCGGCACGGGAUGGGCCCGCGCCCGAUUAGCCAGUUGGCGGGGUAACGGCCCACCAAAGCGACGAUCGGUAGCCGGCCUGAGAGGGCGGACGGCCACAUUGGGACUGAGACACGGCCCAAACUCCUACGGGAGGCAGCAGUGGGGAAUAUUGCACAAUGGGGGAAACCCUGAUGCAGCAACGCCGCGUGGGUGAAGGAGCGUUUCGGCGCGUAAAGCCCUGUCAACGGGGAAGAAGAAAGACGGUACCCGACCAAGAAGCCCCGGCUAACUACGUGCCAGCAGCCGCGGUAAUACGUAGGGGGCGAGCGUUAUCCGGAAUUACUGGGUGUAAAGGGAGCGUAGACGGCGAGGUAAGCCUGAAGUGGAAGCCCGCGGCCCAACCGCGGAACUGCUUUGGGAACUGUUUUGCUGGAGUAUGGGAGGGGUAAGCGGAAUUCCUGGUGUAGCGGUGAAAUGCGUAGAUAUCAGGAGGAACACCGGUGGCGAAGGCGGCUUACUGGACCAUAACUGACGUUGAGGCUCGAAAGCGUGGGGAGCGAACAGGAUUAGAUACCCUGGUAGUCCACGCCGUAAACGAUGAUUACCAGGUGUCGGGUGUCGAAGGACGGCCGGUGCCGCAGCGAACGCAGUAAGUAAUCCACCUGGGGAGUACGUUCGCAAGAAUGAAACUCAAAGGAAUUGACGGG
rnacentral:rRNA from 1 species